UGAUGCAUCAGGUAAACAAUUCGUAUUAGAUUUGUGUAGCAACUGCGGCUGGUUAGUUGGUAGUGUUGUUAUUAGAUAUUCUUUGUGACUCUGAUACUCUUUACGAACGUUCGUUGGCUGCUUUUGCAAUAAUUGACGGCUAUGUUGGCAACAGCGUGCCGUUCUUCUUGUGGAAAUCUUGAUAGGCUUACUGGCUUGAGCAGGUGUUGUUUUGUUUUU
rnacentral:lncRNA from 1 species